rnacentral:rRNA from 1 species
ACGAACGCUGGCGGCGUGCCUAAUACAUGCAAGUCGAACGGUCUUUCUAUGGAAGCUUGCUUCCACUGAGAAGAUAGUGGCGAACGGGUGAGUAACACGUGGGUAACCUGCCCAUAAGAGGGGGAUAACAUCCGGAAACGGGUGCUAAUACCGCAUAGUUUUCCUGAUCGCAUGAUCGGGAAAGGAAAGACGGCCUUUGUGCUGUCGCUUAUGGAUGGACCCGCGGCGUAUUAGUUAGUUGGUGAGGUAACGGCUCACCAAGACGAUGAUACGUAGCCGACCUGAGAGGGUGAUCGGCCACAUUGGGACUGAGACACGGCCCAAACUCCUACGGGAGGCAGCAGUAGGGAAUCUUCCGCAAUGGACGAAAGUCUGACGGAGCAACGCCGCGUGAGUGAAGAAGGUUUUCGGAAUCGUAAAACUCUGUUGUCAGAGAAGAACAAGUUGGAGAGUAACUGCUCCAGCCUUGACGGUAUCUGACCAGAAAGCCACGGCUAGCUACGUGCCAGCAGCCGC